rnacentral:lncRNA from 1 species
AGCCGCACCCGAGUGUCUCUUCCAUGUAUGCCCAUGGAUCUUCCCUGCGCUCGUGCCUCUUCCCCAACGCGAUCAGCAGAGGAACUCCGGUCUGAAGCUUUGCGCCCCUAGGUCCUCCGCGCUGCACACUGGGAGAGUCGCUCAUGUGCGCGUCCAACCGCAAGGAGGGGAUCUCCUCCCACUGGCUCCCUCUGGUGCCCGCGCCUCCGGGCAUCUCCAACAUGCCCCGCCACCGUGAGGAGCUCCGGCCGCCGCCGGCUACCUCCCGCAGGUAGGACCUCGACCUCCCUCUCUUUAUCUCUUCUUCCCCCUCACCCAUCAUUCUUCUCUCCCUCCUGCAGGUCACCCCUGCCAUGGAUGUGCAUGAGAAGCUCGUGCCAUGCCUUGAGCUCACCGGGAACGGACGGAUCCGGGCAGCC